rnacentral:rRNA from 1 species
GUGCCAGCCGCCGCGGUAAUACGUAGGGUGCAAGCGUUAAUCGGAAUUACUGGGCGUAAAGCGUACGCAGGCGGCUGAGUAAGACAGGUGUGAAAUCCCCGGGCCUAACCUGGGAACUGCAUUUGUGACUGCUUAGCUAGAGUCUGUCAGAGGGGGGUGGAAUUCCACGUGUAGCAGUGAAAUGCGUAGAGAUGUGGAGGAACACCGAUGGCGAAGGCAGCCCCCUGGGAUGAGACUGACGCUCAUGUACGAAAGCGUGGGGAGCAAACAGGAUUAGAAACCCUCGUAGUCC